AACGAACGCUGGCGGCAUGCCUAACACAUGCAAGUCGAACGAAGCCUUCGGGCUUAGUGGCGCACGGGUGCGUAACGCGUGGGAAUCUGCCCUUGGGUUCGGAAUAACAGUUAGAAAUGACUGCUAAUACCGGAUGAUGUCUUCGGACCAAAGAUUUAUCGCCCAAGGAUGAGCCCGCGUAGGAUUAGGUAGUUGGUGGGGUAAUGGCCCACCAAGCCGACGAUCCUUAGCUGGUCCGAGAGGAUGAUCAGCCACACUGGGACUGAGACACGGCCCAGACUCCUACGGGAGGCAGCAGUGGGGAAUAUUGGACAAUGGGCGAAAGCCUGAUCCAGCAAUGCCGCGUGAGUGAUGAAGGCCUUAGGGUUGUAAAGCUCUUUUACCAGGGAUGAUAAUGACAGUACCUGGAGAAUAAGCUCCGGCUAACUCCGUGCCAGCCGCCGCCGUAACAC
rnacentral:rRNA from 1 species